CAGAAAAUGUUCAAGAAGUCGGUGAAAUUAAAGCCCUAUGUAAGUUGAGAAGAUAUCCAGAGACCCUGUUGCUGGGUGGAGCUGUCUUGUUACUGUACGCAACCGCCAUGUCUGAAAAUAAGUGGAACUAGUCGGUUUCUGAAGCAAAGAAGAUGGCCAGGACUCCUUGCUGAUAGAUGGGAGCCAGAUAGAGUUGGUAGAGCCGAGAAGAUGGCCAGGAUUGCUGCUGGACGGAAGUUGUCUAGUUACAUUGAUUCCCCUUGUAGGACCGUGUCGGAAAAUGCUGAGAAAGACCAACGUUUUUUAAAAAGAAGAUGGUCAGGGACUCUUUGCUGCUGGAUGGAAGCUGUCUAGAGCUGCUAGAGUGUCACUCUGGUUGCCACCUUCUCCCAUAAGGACACGUUGACUGAGGGAGAUAUUGAGCCCUGCCCUGACUCUGCACACAACCAAGGAGAGUGCCAGUAGCGCGCGCGCGCACACACACACACACACACACACACACACACACACACACACACACACACACACACACACACACACACACACACAGAGAGAGACACACACCUUUUAUGGAUGACAGUGUUUUUAUAUUCAUUAACAUUUCAGUUAGAGGCUGCCUGAGUUUGUAAGAAUGUCAGUGUUGUAUUUUCAGGUUAUUGUCAUUUUAAGUUAGCUUCAGCCUUGUCAGACCAUCAGAUUCGCCCUGCUUCCAAACCAAAAUUUGGAAGAUUCAGGCAGGAUCACUUAAUUUUAAGUUAGAAGUCAUGUGUGUUUCCUAUAUGUGUUUUUUUGCCCUUAAUACCUACUGGGAUAUUGAUUUGUAUUUUAAUUGCAUAUCAAAUAAACUGACUUUCGAU